UUUCUACUCCCUCCGUCCGAAAAUACUUGUCAUCAAAAUGGAUAAAAAGAGAUGUAUCUAAAACUAAAAUACGUCUAGAUACAUUUCCUUUUAUCCAUUUUGAUGACGAGUAUUUCCGGACGGAGGGAGUAUUUG
rnacentral:pre_miRNA from 1 species